AGGACGAACGCUGGCGGCGUGCCUCAUACAUGCAAGUGGAGCGACGAACCAGGAUUUAUCCUGGGGCAAAGCCGCGAACGGGUGAGUAACACGUGGGUUACCUGCCCCGAUGAUUGGGACAACCCGAGGAAACUCGGGCUAAUACCAAAUGUGCUCCUGGCCGUGAUGGCCUUGAGGAAAGGAAGCUUCGGCCUCCGCAUCGGGAUGGGCCCGCGGCCCAUUAGCUAGUUGGUGGGGUAAAGGCCUACCAAGGCGACGAUGGGUAGCUGGUCUGAGAGGACGAUCAGCCACACUGGGACUGAGACACGGCCCAGACUCCUACGGGAGGCAGCAGUAGGGAAUUUUCCACAAUGGGCG
rnacentral:rRNA from 1 species